AGGAUCUACUUCCAAAAGCGUAACAACACCAGUGUACGUGUGUAACGACUUUUGACCAAUCAUCAUGUUUGUGUAUGUUUACAUUAAGUAUAUUAGUAAGUUGAACAGAGUAUAGAGACGUCUUUUUUUCUCGGUAACUUGUGUUACAGUGCCUGAAAGUGCAAUACCGAUGUAGAAAAAUUCUACCGAAUUUCGUACUUUGUGCCUAUAGUAUUCUGAUUCUAUAUUACACUACAAAUUUUCUUUCAGUGUAUCUUUAUCGACUGUUUGUGUUAGCGGCCUAUUUUCAGAAGAACUGGCUUCGACCUUGAAGUUGCAAUCGUCGUAAUCCACGACGGUUAAUACAAUUUUUUUUUGGCCAAAAGUUGUGUAGUAACAGUAGUCCUACUGCUCAAAUUGCUUUCAGCAAACAUGUUCAUGCAUCCAAAACUUUUGCAUGUUCUGACUUAUAAGAAUGACCGUAGUUGGAAUUUUUUUUUACUGUCAGUUUUACAGGUAGUUAUGAUUUAAAGUGACAGAAUGCAGGCUUGUGAACAGUACAAUCUGUUUUUGCAUUGGAUGUUUCUGACUUUGUGAAAUGGAAAGCCAAGGAAGAGAAGACAGUAGCAUUGUAACUUAUGGGUGUGCCUAGCCUGCGAUAGGUGGGACUAAAACCACAUAUAUGUGUCAUAGAUCUGCGAUAGUCAAGUCUCAAUCAAAAGGCGAGAGGCUGCUGAAGUCGCAAGGCAAUAACAAGAUGGGAAGCCAUGGCACUGCUGCCAUGAACAUCAGCCAAAAUAAAAAGAGGAAUUUUACUAUUGUUUAUUUCAAGACACAUUUUAGCCACAAACGGAAUGAAUAUUGUUUCUGUGCACCUAACCAGAUAUUAAAAGGAGUUCAUUGCUGAAGAGUGGUGGAUGAUAAGCAGUUGUUGAAAUGGCUGGAUGAAGAGUUUGCUAACGAAGAUUGUAGUGAUGCAGAGUCAAUCUUCAAAACUGAUCACAAUUCUGAAAGUGAGCAGUUUCUGGUCAUAAAUGACAAUAUCGAUAAAUUUGACUCACAUGUUGGGAAAGGUGGUAUGCAGUGCAGUCAUCGACCUCUGAUUCAAAACAGGUAUAUAUGCCAGCUUUGUUGUACUUUCAGAAGCUAGAAUUUCUAAGCAAGCAUUAUACAGGGUGUUACAAAAAGGUACGGCCAAACGUUCAGGAAAUAUUCCUCACACACAAAUAAAGAAAAAAUGUUAUGUGGACAUGUAUCCGGAAACACUUAAUUUCCAUGUUAGAGCUCAUUUUAGUUUCGUCAGUAUGUACUGUACUUCCUCGAUUCACCGCCAGUUGGCCCAAUUGAAGGAAGGUAAUGUUGACUUCAGUGCUUGUAUUGACAUGCGACUCAUUGCUCUACAGUACUAGCAUCAAGCACAUCAGUACGUAGCACCAAUAGGUUAGUGUUCAUCAUGAACGUGGUUUUGCAGUCAGUGCAAUGUUUACAAAUGCGGAGUUGGCAGAUACCCAUUUGAUGUAUGGAUUAGCACGGGGCAAUAGCCGUGGCGUGGUACAUUUGUAUCGAGACAGAUUUCCAGAAUGAAGGUGUCGCUACAGGAAGACAUUCGAAGCAAUUGAUCGGCGUCUUAGGGAGCACGGAUAUUCCACCCUAUGACUCGCGACUGGGGAAGACCUAGAACAAUGAGGACACCUGCAAUGGACGAGGCAAUUCUUCAUGCAGUUGACGAUAACCCUAAUGUCAGCGUCAUAGAAUUUGCUGCUGUACAAGGUAACGUUGACCACGUCACUGUAUGGAGAGUGCUACGGGAGAACCAGUUGUUUCCGUACCAUGUACAGCGUGUGCAGGCACUAUCAGCAGCUGAUUGGCCUCCACGGGUACACUUCUGCGAAUGGUUCAUCCAACAAUGUGUCAAUCCUCAUUUCAGUGCAAAUGUUCUCUUUACGGAUGAGGCUUCAUUCCAAUGUGAUCAAAUUGUAGAUUUUCACAAUAAACAUGUGUGGGCUAACGAGAAUCCGCAUGCAGUUGUGCAGUCACGUCAUCAACACAGAUUUUCUGUGAACGUUUGGGCAGGCAUUGUUGGUGAUGUCUUGAUUGGGCCCCAUGUUCUUCCACCUACACUCAAUGGAUCACGUUAUCAUGAUUUCAUACGGGAUACUCUACCUGUGCUGCUAGAACAUGUGCCUUUACAAGUACGACACAACAUGUGGUUCAUGCACGAUGGAGCUCCUGCACAUUUCAGUCGAAGUGUUUGUACGCUUCCCAACAACAGAUUUGGUGACUGAUGGAUUGGUAGAGGCGGACCAAUUCUAUGGCCUCCACGCUCUCCUGACCUCAACCCUCUUGACUUUCAUUUAUGGGGGCAUUUGAAAGCUCUUGUCUACACAACCCCGGUACCAAAUGUAGAGACUCUUCGUGCUCGUAUUGUGGACGGCUGUGGUACAAUACGCCAUUCUCCAGGGAUGCAUCAACACAUCACGGAUUCCAUGCAACGGAGGGUGGAUGCAUGUAUCCUCGCUAACGGAGGACAUUUUGAUCAUUUCCUGUAACAAAGUGUUUGAAAUCAUGCUGGUACGUUCUGUUGCUGUGUGUUUCCAUUCCAUGAUUAAUGUGAUUUGAAGAGAAGUUAUAAAAUGAGCUCUAACAUGGAAAGUAAGCAUUUACGGACACAUGUCCACAUAACAUAUUUUCUUUCGUUGUGUGUGAGGAAUGUUUAAUGAAAGUUUGGCCAUACCUUUUUGUAACACCCUGUAUACCAUGUAAUGGUGUGACAAUACCAUUAUCGUCAUCCUGACCAUCAAUGGAUCACAGGUACGGUUUUCAGAUGAAAGCUCAAAUGAGAAUGAUGCUGUGGGACCUUCCACAGGUAGUGGAAUACUUAUCACAGGGCAGAGUGAUAUAGACUGUGCAGAAGAAACAGACUUGGUAGUUGAAGAACCGCCGCAAGCAACAACAUUAAGUGCAAACAGAGAGAACAACAUAAAGAUAUGCUACACCAAGGAAAAGAAAGUGAAGUGAUAAAGGGAGCUAUUCAAGUGCACUUCAGUUGAUUGCUGAAAGACUGCAGAUACAUUUGUUAAAGAUUUGGGUGUAGAAAUGAAAGCCAUUAAAAGCCAUGAAAUGAGGAUGGAUUAACUGCAAAUACUAAAACUUAUGUAUGAUGCUGUAGUCAGUCAAUAACAUGCAAAUUUCAUAUGCU